rnacentral:lncRNA from 1 species
AUAUACUUCAUUUUGAAACAGAUAAGAAAUAGUAAAUGGUAAUCGGAGUCCAGAUAAGUAGUAACAGUCUUACCAUGGUGAUAUUUUACUUGCCUGAUUGUAGACGCAAAAGUUGAAAUGAUAUCAUGAACACUCAGAUAGUCUUCGAUGUUGGAAUUUCUGCGAUAUCCCCAAGACCUUCUGUCUAUUGUCAUACAAUUUUCCCAUUUAAAUUUCUGUAAUACACCUG